rnacentral:rRNA from 1 species
GGUAUCUAAUCCUGUUCGCUCCCCACGCUUUCGUCCCUCAGCGUCAGUACAUACGUAGUAGACUGCCUUCGCAAUCGGUAUUCUGUGUAAUAUCUAUGCAUUUCACCGCUACACUACACAUUCUAUCUACUUCCAUAUGACUCAAGUCAACCAGUAUCAAAGGCAGUUCCAUAGUUGAGCUAUGGGAUUUCACCUCUGACUUAAUCGACCGCCUGCGGACCCUUUAAACCCAAUGAUUCCGGAUAACGCUCGGACCCUCCGUAUUACCGCGGCUGCUGGCACGGAGUUAGCCGGUCCUUAUUCUUACAGUACCGUCAAGCUGGUAUACAUACCAGUGUUUCUUCCUGUAUAAAAGUAGUUUACAACCCAUAGGGCAUUCUUCCUGCACGCGGCAUGGCUGGAUCAGAGUCUCCUCCAUUGUCCAAUAUUCCUCACUGCUGCCUCCCGUAGGAGUCUGGUCCGUGUCUCAGUACCAGUGUGGGGGAUCUCCCUCUCAGGACCCCUACCUAUCGCUGUCUUGGUAAGCCGUUACCUUACCAACUAACUAAUAGGACGCAUAGCCAUCUUUUACCGAUAAAUCUUUAAUUAAAUAUUCAUGCGAAUACUCAAUACUAUGAGGCAUUAAUCUUCAUUUCUAAAGGCUAUUCCCCUGUAAAAGGUAGGUUCUAUACGCGUUACGCACCCGUGCGCCGGUCGUCAUCUGUGCAAGCACAAUGUUACCCCUCGACUUGCAUGUGUUAAGCCUGCCGCUAGCGUUCAUCCUGAGCCAGGAUCAAACUCU